rnacentral:rRNA from 1 species
GAUGAACGCUGGCGGCGUGCCUAACACAUGCAAGUCGAACGGAGUCCAGCCUUUAAGACCUUCGGGUCAAAGAGGGGAAGACUGAGUGGCGGACGGGUGAGUAACACGUGGGCAACCUGGCUCAUAGAGGGGGAUAACAGAGAGAAAUUUCUGCUAAUACCGCAUAAGCACACACUGCCGCAUGGCAGAGGGUGAAAAGAGAAUCGCUAUGAGAUGGACCCGCGUCUGAUUAGCCAGUUGGCAGGGUAAGAGCCUGCCAAAGCGACGAUCAGUAGCCGAUCUGAGAGGAUGAACGGCCACAUUGGGACUGAGACACGGCCCAAACUCCUACGGGAGGCAGCAGUGGGAGAUAUUGCACAAUGGGGGGAACCCUGAUGCAGCGACGCCGCGUGAGUGAAGAAGUAUUUCGGUAUGUAAAGCUCUAUCAGCAGGGAAGAUAAUGACAGUACCUGAAGAAGAAGCCCCGGCUAACUACGUG